UUGAUUACGUCCCUGCCCUUUGUGCACACCGCCCGUCGCUGCCCGGAACUGAGCCAUUUCGAGAAACUUGGGGACCGCUGACCUGGCGGCAUUCGUGUCGCCUCGUUGGUGGAAACCAAUUUAAUCGCAGUGGCUUGAACCGGGCAAAAGUCGUAACAAGGUAGCUGUAGGUGAACCUGCUGCUGGAUCAUU
rnacentral:rRNA from 1 species